rnacentral:rRNA from 1 species
CCUACGGGAGGCAGCAGUGAGGAAUAUUGGUCAAUGGACGAGAGUCUGAACCAGCCAAGUAGCGUGAAGGAUGACUGCCCUAUGGGUUGUAAACUUCUUUUAUAUGGGAAUAAAACGUUCCACGUGUGGGAUUUUGUAUGUACCAUAUGAAUAAGGAUCGGCUAACUCCGUGCCAGCAGCCGCGGUAAUACGGAGGAUCCGAGCGUUAUCCGGAUUUAUUGGGUUUAAAGGGAGCGUAGGUGGAUUGUUAAGUCAGUUGUGAAAGUUUGCGGCUCAACCGUAAAAUUACAGAUGAAACUGGCAGUCUUGAGUACAGUAGAGGUGGGCGGAAUUCGUGGUGUAGCGGUGAAAUGCUUAGAUAUCACGAAGAACUCCGAUUGCGAAGGCAGUUCACUGGACUGCAACUGACACUGAGGCUCGAAAGUGUGGGUAUCAAACAGGAUUAGAUACCCCUGUAGUC